GGGUCAGUAGGUUGGUCGUGCCACCGGUACGUACUGGUCUCACUGAUUCCUCCUUCCUGAAGAACCGUAAUGCCAUUAAUUUGGUGUUGCGGGGAAACAGGACUGUUACUUUGAAAAAAUUAGAGUGUUUAAAGCAAGCUAACGCUCGAAUACAUUAGCAUGGAAUAAUGAAAUAGGACGAUCGAUCCUAUUUUAUUGGUUUCUAGGAUUGACGUA
rnacentral:rRNA from 1 species